AAUCAACGCUGGCGGCGUGCCUCAGACAUGCAAGUCGAACGCGAAAGUCCCCUUCGGGGGACGAAGUAGAGUGGCGCACGGGUGAGUAACACGUAGGUAAUCUACCUUCGGAGUGGGGAAGUAACAACCGGAAACGGUUGCUAAUACCGCAUAAUGCAGCGGCACCUAAUGGUGACAGUUGUUAAAGCGGGGGAUCGAAAGACCUCGCGUCUGAAGAGGAGCCUGCGGCGGAUUAGCAGUUGGUAAGGUAAUGGCUUACCAAGGCGACGAUCCGUAGCCGGCCUGAGAGGGCGGUCGGCCACACUGACACUGACAUACGGGUCAGACUCCUACGGGAGGCAGCAGUCGGGAAUUUUGGGCAAUGGGCGAAAGCCUGACCCAAGCAACGCCGCGUGAAGGAUGAAAUCCCUCGGG
rnacentral:rRNA from 1 species